rnacentral:rRNA from 1 species
UACGUAGGGUGCGAGCGUUAAUCGGAAUUACUGGGCGUAAAGCGUGCGCAGGCGGUUUUGUAAGUCAGACGUGAAAUCCCCGGGCUUAACCUGGGAAUGGCAUUUGGGACUGCAAGGCUUGAGUGCGGCAGAGGAGACUGGAAUUCCUGGUGUAGCAGUGAAAUGCGUAGAUAUCAGGAGGAAUACCGAUGGCGAAGGCAGGUCUCUGGGCUGACACUGACGCUCAUGCACGAAAGCGUGGGGAGCAAACAGG